UACGGAGGGAGCUAGCGUUGUUCGGAAUUACUGGGCGUAAAGCGCACGUAGGCGGCUUUGUAAGUUAGAGGUGAAAGCCCAGGGCUCAACCCUGGAAAUUGCCUUUAAGACUGCAUCGCUUGAACAUCGGAGAGGUAAGUGGAAUUCCGAGUGUAGAGGUGAAAUUCGUAGAUAUUCGGAAGAACACCAGUGGCGAAGGCGAACUUACUGGACAUGUAUUGACGCUGAGGUGCGAAAGCGUGGGGAGCAAACAGG
rnacentral:rRNA from 1 species